UAACAGGUCUUCGGAUGCUGACGAGUGGCGAACGGGUGAGUAAUACAUCGGAACGUGCCUAGUAGUGGGGGAUAACUACUCGAAAGAGUGGCUAAUACCGCAUGAGAUCUACGGAUGAAAGCAGGGGAUCGCAAGACCUUGUGCUACUAGAGCGGCCGAUGGCAGAUUAGGUAGUUGGUGGGAUAAAAGCUUACCAAGCCGACGAUCUGUAGCUGGUCUGAGAGGACGAUCAGCCACACUGGGACUGGGACACGGCCCAGACUCCUACGGGAGGCAGCAGUGGGGAAUUUUGGACAAUGGGCGCAAGCCUGAUCCAGCAAUGCCGCGUGCAGGAUGAAGGCCUUCGGGUUGUAAACUGCUUUUGUACGGAACGAAAAGCCCUGGGUUAAUACCCUGGGGUCAUGACGGUACCGUAAGAAUAAGCACCGGCUAACUACGUGCCAGCAGCCGCGGUAAUACGUAGGGUGCGAGCGUUAAUCGGAAUUACUGGGCGUAAAGCGUGCGCAGGCGGUUUUGUAAGACAGAGGUGAAAUCCCCGGGCUCAACCUGGGAACUGCCUUUGUGACUGCAAGGCUAGAGUACGGCAGAGGGGGAUGGAAUUCCGCGUGUAGCAGUGAAAUGCGUAGGUAUGCGGAGGAACACCGAUGGCGAAGGCAAUCCCCUGGGCCUGUACUGACGC
rnacentral:rRNA from 1 species